AUUUUCCCCCUUGCGAGUGUUUAUAAAAGUGCAUGUUGUGUUGAGCUAUAGGUAUUACGCAUCAGACUUGAAUGAGAGAAGAUGAGGUCGAUAUCACCACUACUGUGCCUGGCUACAAUGCUGCUCACUUAUGUCACCUGCCAAAUUAUUGGCCGUUCAACCUGCCCAUGUCUCAAGACAUCAGACACAGUUUUACGCCUGAAAAAUAUUAUAAAUUACAAGCGACAUACAGCAGGCAUUUGCCACAUUGAUGCCGUUGCAUUUAAAACAGUCAAAGGCUCUACUGUUUGCUCCAAUCCAAAAAUGCCUUGGGUCAGGAGAGCCAUAAAAUUGAUGGACAAGAGGAAAUCAAAUGAAAUGACAGCACGUCCCAAAAACUCCACUUUACCCUUUAAAACAGCAUCUACACAGAAUACAACAUCAAGAGUGUGGACUGCGAACCACAUGUCCUAAACUAUGCAAAUGAUUUGACAUAUAAUCUACAUGUCUGCAAUUUGUGCUGCAUUAUAUUGUAACUGCAACUGGUUAGUUAUGAAUAUAUUCCUCUGUAUGUGUAUUAUUUAUUUAUUUUAUUCUUUUCAAUUUUUAUUUUUUACAACUGAGCGUUUUUUCCAGUGUGGCUAAUAACCAAUAAACAUGUCAGUCACUGUAUUUCUAUAUUGUGUGUAACAGAGGUACAUCUGAACUUGAAGUUCAAAAUGUAUUAUUUUACUAAAGAUAUAAGGGUGCUGACAAUAACCUCUUCCUCAGUUAAAGCAAAA